rnacentral:rRNA from 1 species
AUUGAACGCUAGCGGGAUGCUUUACACAUGCAAGUCGAACGAGUGGCGGACGGGUGAGUAAUAUAUCGGAACGUGCCCAGUAGCGGGGGAUAACUACUCGAAAGAGUGGCUAAUACCGUAAACUAUUGGAGCGGCCGAUAUCGGAUUAGCUAGUGGGUGGGGAAAGGGCUCACCAAGGUAACGAUCCGUAGCUGGUUUGAGAGGACGACCAGCAACACUGGAACUGAGACACGGCCCAGACGCCUACGGGAGGCAGAAGUGGGAAAUAUUGGACAAUGGGCGCAAGCCUGAUGCGGCCCUGCCGCGUGUAUGAAACGGCCCUAGGUUUGUAAAGUUCUUUCAGUCGGGAGGCGUUACCGACAGAAGAAGCACCGGCUAACUCCGUGCCAGCAGCCGCGGUAAUUC